GCUUUUUUCCAGGGCUUCUCUGCACGCAGUGCUGCCCCAUGUCUUCCCAGCCCCAGGAGGGCUCCCAGGAAAUGGGAGAAACACAGCAGUAAUUCACUGCAGGGAUGGGCGACAAGACUUCGUAUUUGGAGCUCUGCCUUAGAAGUGAGACGCAAGGCCCUCAGAAGGUACUGAACAGGCGGCUUCAUAUGGUCCUUUGGUGGAGUUUGCAACAGAGGCACAAAAGAUGGAAGAUGCAGGCACGUGGCACCAAAUGGUUUUCCUUUCCAGUUGCCAGCUGGAGCAGAUACUAUGGCCUCUUACAACACCAAACAAUUUGAAAGGAAUCAAAAUGCACUAUAAUAUUACAGUAAAUUAACUGAGUAAAUUAACCUGCUGAAACCCGUUGAAGAAAAAUUGUUCCUGGUUUACUAUGAAAGUGUAAGAAUUAUAGUAUGCACAUGAGCAAUGGUUACUUGGAAAGCAUAAGGUAUAGAUUUUUGAAAAAAUCUGUUGGCAUCACUAGAUGGCAUUGGAGGGUGGUUUAUCUCACCAUAGGAGAAAGGUAGGUACACUAGUAGGUAAAGAAUUGAUUCUAAGCAAGCUGAAGGCAUGUCCAGUGAGACUUUGGAGAGUGAAUUGCAACACAAAGCAAGAGCCAAUGUUGGCUGAUCAGUUACUGCUAUGCUGGAAUUUCAUUCUGUCGCACAGAAGCAAUCCAACACUGGUGAGCAAGAACUGGAAGACUGAAGCUCAGAUAGAAAUAACUUGCAGAGUGCUGAACAGACUGAGAACUGAUAGCACACGGGCUGGUGACCACAGAGAGGUGAGAGUUAAUCCGUUUCUGAGAUUUAGCAGGGAAUUUUGGUACUGCACGCUCGUUGCUCCACCACAGUAAAUUGUGACCACCAAACAAAUAUUUCUUAUCUAAAUGGCAUCUGUUUUUCUCAUACCUUUUUAUUACCUAGUUCCCAUGCCCCUUUCCUAUUGCUUUUUAAAUGAUGUAUAUUUACCAUCCCGUGAUGUUUUUGUCUAGCAUCAGCAUCCAUUUGGGAAUUACUGUUAAUUUCAAUCAGUAGACUCAGUAGCACCACAACUACAGUGGUUUCUGAAUUGCAUGAGUAUUAUUACGCUCACACAGUUCUCUUUUAUUCACACUCUAGUAGUUGCUAAAAAAAAAAAAAAACACAAAGAAAAGUAUGUUCCUGCGUAACCACAUAAUUCAAGGAGCUUGGUCUUUAAGAAAUAAACCAUACAUCAGAGUAAUGGUAGGUCAUGAAACACAUGUUGCAAUAUAAGGCUGAAAUAUGGUAAUUUCUUUUCACAUCUGCCACCUUGACCUGCAACCCAAGUUAUUAAACGUUAAUUCUCUAGGUAGAAUGUACAGUCUAUUUGCAGACUCAUUGCCUAUACAAUAAAGCAGAUAUUAUUUUUU